rnacentral:rRNA from 1 species
AACGAACGCUGGCGGCAUGCCUAACACAUGCAAGUCGAACGAGACCUUCGGGUCUAGUGGCGCACGGGUGCGUAACGCGUGGGAACCUGCCCUUAGGUUCGGAAUAACUCCCCGAAAGGGGUGCUAAUACCGGAUAAUGUCUUCGGACCAAAGAUUUAUCGCCUUUGGAUGGGCCCGCGUUGGAUUAGCUAGUUGGUAGGGUAAAAGCCUACCAAGGCGACGAUCCAUAGCUGGUCUGAGAGGAUGCUCAGCCACACUGGGACUGAGACACGGCCCAGACUCCUACGGGAGGCAGCAGUGGGGAAUAUUGGACAAUGGGCGAGAGCCUGAUCCAGCAAUGCCGCGUGAGUGAUGAAGGCCUUAGGGUUGUAAAGCUCUUUUACCCGGGAUGAUAAUGACAGUACCGGGAGAAUAAGCUCCGGCUAACUCCGUG